rnacentral:rRNA from 2 species
AGACGACUCUCGGCAACGGAUAUCUCGGCUCACGCAUCGAUGAAGAACGUAGCAAAAUGCGAUACUUGGUGUGAAUUGCAGAAUCCCGUGAACCAUCGAGUUUUUGAACGCAAGUUGCGCCCGAAGCCAUCCGGUUGAGGGCACGCCUGCCUGGGCGUCACG